rnacentral:rRNA from 1 species
CGGAGGGUGCGAGCGUUAUCCGGAAUCACUGGGCGUAAAGGGCGCGUAGGCGGUUUGUUAAGUCCGAUGUUAAAGACCGAGGCUCAACCUCGAUACGGCGUUGGAUACUGACAAGCUGGACGGUUGGAGAGGAAGGUAGAAUUACCAGUGUAGCGGUGGAAUGCGUAGAUACUGGUAGGAAUACCCAUUGCGAAGGCAGCCUUCUGGACAACACGUGACGCUGAGGCGCGAAAGUGUGGGGAGCAAACCGGAUU